rnacentral:rRNA from 1 species
UACGGAGGGUGCGAGCGUUGUCCGGAAUCAUUGGGCGUAAAGGGCGCGUAGGUGGCGGCUUAAGCGUGCGGUGAAAGCUCGGGGCUCAACCCCGAGUCGGCCGUGCGAACUGAGUCGCUUGAGCACUGUAGAGGCAGGCGGAAUUCCGGGUGUAGCGGUGGAAUGCGUAGAGAUCCGGAAGAACACCGGUGGCGAAGGCGGUCUGCUGGGCAGUUGCUGACACUGAGGCGCGA